rnacentral:rRNA from 1 species
UACGUAGGGGGCAAGCGUUGUCCGGAAUCAUUGGGCGUAAAGAGCGCGUAGGCGGUCCGGUAAGUCCGCUCUGAAAGUCCGGGGCUCAACCCCGGGAGGCGGGCGGAUACUGUCGGGCUAGAGUCCGGAAGAGGCGAGUGGAAUUCCUGGUGUAGCGGUGAAAUGCGCAGAUAUCAGGAGGAACACCAAUGGCCAAGGCAGCUCGCUGGGACGGUACUGACGCUGAGGCGCGAAAGCGUGGGGAGCAAACAGG